rnacentral:rRNA from 1 species
GAUGAACGCUGGCGGCGUGCCUAAUACAUGCAAGUCGAGCGAACAGACGAGGAGCUUUCUCCUCUGACGUUAGCGGCGGACGGGUGAGUAACACGUGGAUAACCUACCUAUAAGACUGGGAUAACCUCGGGAAACCGGAGCUAAUACCGGAUAAUAUAUUGAACCGCAUGGUUCAAUAGUGAAAGACGGUUUUGCUGCCACUUAUCGAUGGUUCCGCGCCGCAUUAGCUAGUUGGUAAGGUAACGGCUUACCAAGGCAACGAUGCGUAGCCGACCUGAGAGGGUGAUCGGCCACACUGGAACUGAGACACGGUCCAGACUCCUACGGGAGGCAGCAGUAGGGAAUCUUCCGCAAUGGGCGAAAGCCUGACGGAGCAACGCCGCGUGAGUGAUGAAGGUCUUCGGAUCGUAAAACUCUGUUAUUAGGGAAGAACAAAUGUGUAAGUAACUAUGCACGUCUUGACGGUACCUAAUCAGAAAGCCACGGCUAACUACGUG